AGAUGAGAUGUGUUAAGCUGUGAGAGCAGCUGCUGUGUCUGAUGAAUCACUGGAGUUUAUUCUGACUCAGUCCUGAUGCUCCACACGUGGUUCAUAUAAAAACUACAGAGCGUCUCUGAUCCAACACUUCACUUCAUCCUGUCACAGGUGGGGGGGGUCUGACCUUGGAGGUUCGUCUGGACCCUUUGGUUCUCCGGUUGUCCCCCUUGUUGGAGUUUCUUCUGAAGAUGAGCCAGGAACUGAGCGGAGACACCCGGGACAGAUCCGAGGAUGCCGACUCCUGAGGACAGAGACACACUCUGACCUUUAACCUCUGACCCAGAGCUCAGGGUUCAUCAACCAGCAGAUCGUCAAUCAGUUUUCUUACCGGGAUCUCGGUGCUGACGGCCUCGUCCUCGUCCAGGAUCUCCUGACUCUCCUCGCUGUCCAUGUCAUCGACGACCGC